UACACUGUUGGGACCGCCGCUGCUAAAGCGGAGGAAGGAAUGGGCAACGGUAGGUCAGUAUGCCCCGAAUAUCCCGGGCUACACGCGAGCUACAAUGGUUGGUACAAUGGGUAUCUACCCCGAAAGGGGACGGGAAUCUCCUAAAACCAAUCUUAGUUCGGAUUGAGGGCCGCAACUCGCCCUCAUGAAGCUGGAAUCCGUAGUAAUCGCGUUUCAACAGAACGCGGUGAAUACGUCCCUGCUCCUU
rnacentral:rRNA from 1 species